UGGAUCAGAGGUGACCCCUGGUGGCAUGGUGGCAUGGAUGAUGGCAACUAUGUGUCUGGAACUCUGGGGUCCAA